ensembl:lncRNA
UCAAAUUUUUCAAGUGCCUGGCAAAAGAGUACACAAAUCUUUCCUCCAGACAAGCUACUUGAAUUACGAGCCCUUGCUUUCAUACAUAUAUAUGUAUAUAUAUACAUAUUUACCCAAAGGGAAAUUCACAGAUAUGGAAAAUAAUAAAUCUUUCACUGCUUUAUUUGAUUCUUCCUUUGACUCAGCUUCAAAAGACAGACUGUGGGGCUUUAAUCUGACCACAGGCCAAUGGAGUCAGUGCUUUGUUGAAGGACUGCCAUGGAAAUGGGGAGUGAUGCAGCUCCGGAGGAGGCACAUUACGCUGAGGCACUUUGAUGGUGUGUGACUUGGUUUAAGAAAUUGAAAGUCGACAUAAACCUUGCCUUAAUACUGCAGUCUGUGGAAGGAACAAGCACAGGCUUUCUGAGGGGUGAGGGCUUGCAACACGCGAGGCUUGUGAGCUGUUAGACCAAACAUCUGGGACCUCCAGAAUGGCUGCAUUGAUGGAUCCAGCAGAAGUCACAAAGGCAAACUGGCAGCUGUAUCACUACCAGUUGGUCACCAGCAAUCGUGACUGCAUACUUGAACAGACAUGCCAAAAAUAUUCUCUGCUGUAGGAUUUAUUUGCUAGUUCAGAAGCAUUUUAUAAUAGCAGAUAAAGAAACUCUGUUGGAUUGUCCCCAUUCGUACUCCUAGUAAAAACGAACUAUACAGUGCAAAUGAUAUUUUUCCACCCUUUUUAAUUAGCUAAUAUGCUAUGCGGCAUGGUUUACUUCUGACCCUAUUCUGGGAGGUUAGAAACAUAGACAGCAAUGGGAUACUUUGGUUCUUUUAAUUUGAUCAUCUUAUUUUAAUAUAUAUGUGUACAAAUAGCCAAGAUCUUUCUCUUGGAGGUGAACAACUCUUUCUAUUACUGAAAAGCUAUACAGAUAAAAUAUGUUGCAUUUAUGUCACUGCAAAAUCCUAAAAUACAUCCAUUGUUCUCAGAUGUCUCGGAGAGUUACUCUUCCUCUGGCAUUGGCUGUUAGGCUGUUUUCACUGUCUUGGGAGCUUCACAAAGGCCUUCUCGCAGGGGUUGCAAAUGUCAGUCGUCAUCUCCGAAGCUGCCGCAGGAAGCGUUCAGACCAUCAGUGGGAAUGAACUGACUGUUGGAGGAUGGAGGUUCCCACAGCCCUAGGGGAGAAGCUGAAGCUUGUGCUGAUGAUGGUGGAUGAAACACAAGGCCAGAGCAUGCCCCAUACAGCAGCUGACUUGGCCAGUCCUUGCACAACUCCUCCCUUUUCUGCUAUAAGAAGAGGGCACAUCAUAGACAAAACGCAG